CCAAUGUCGAGUGGGAAGCAAAGAGAGAGUGUCGUGAUGUGGCUCUGGAGACACUGCUUGUUAGUCUCCCAAGGACAAAAAGCACCUGUCCUGCAUCACUGAGGAAACACAAUUGGAAACUACUCUUUAAAGAAGGUGGGAGAGGAGCCUCCAAGAUGCUCAGCAGGCCUCAUACAUGCUGACCAGCAAGGAAAGUGAGCCACCCUGUUUGCACCUGGCUAUGUAGAAGCAAAAGGAUUCAGGACCUAAGUUCGAGGCCGAGCACCCAGGUCGGGUGGCUCACCACUUGCAGCUUCUUCUAGGCACAGACCUUUAAUCCCCACGCCAGGGAGGCAGAAGCAGGUAGAUUUCGGUAAGUUCAGGGCCAGCCUGGUCUAGUUACAUAGUGAGUUCCAAUCCAGCCAGGGCUAUGAGACCCUCUGUCUCAAAAGCGGGGGGGGGGGGGGGGGCACGGCAAAAAAAAUACUACAUAAAACUUAUUAAACUGUGGUUUCCAGUUCACCUGAAAGUGCUGUGGAGGGGCCACAUGGACAGAAGUGACAACAGGAAAAGGGUUCUGAGCAAACAGUAACCAAAAACUAAUUCAAAAUCAAACCUAAUGAAGGUUUUAAAAUUCAAAUGUGAUGAAUCUGAGGCAUUUGUGGCAGCGUUUGACUGUGUUUCGUCAUGGGAUUUCACUGCAGUCUUGGUUCUGAAUACAAUAUGUCACAUUGCCCGUUAGCACAGGCACCAGUUAAAUCAGCUCCGAUUUGGCACACUGUUGUCUUAAGAAUUGCAGUGCUCUGCUCCAUCUUCUCUGGAGGCUACGGCAGCUACAGAGGCUACAGAGGAGUGAUCUGCAAUCGAAACCUCCACCGUGAGUCUCCUCAAUAAACCCAAGAGUGAGAUGGCCCCAGAAGAGCAGCAGAAGUGGGAAAAGGAGGAAUUCAAUACAGGUCCCCUCUCGAUGCUCACCCAGGCACAGGAUUUUCUCAGUUAAAGAGGCUUUAUGAUUGGAAAGAAUUUAAGAAGCAUAGUUUAAAAAAUGAAGUAGGGCUGAGGCUGUAGCUUAGCUGGUAGAGUGAGUAUCUAGCAUGCACAGAACCCUGGACUCAGUACCUGAUACUGCAUGAAUUUGGCAGAGUGGGUCACACCUGUAACCAUGACCCUCAGGAGGUGGGAAGGUCAAGGUCACCCUUGACUGCUUAAUAAGUUCAAGGCCAGCCUAGGAUGUUUGGGACUUUGUCUCAAAGGUGUAUCUUUUAAGCUUAAAAGACAAAGAACAACUAAAGAGUAAUUGAAAUCCUGUGCCUUUGGAGAGUGUAUUUUCUGGGAUCUGUGUUCAUCCUUUCUUUAUUUACAGCUUUAUUAGUCAUGGUUAAAACCACCGGCCACCAGGGGGCGCCCUCCCAGAUGAUUACCUGACGCAUCUCAUCCCACAUGACAGUUCUGUCAACAAACAGGCUUCCUGGUAAAGGGGCCAAAGGGACAGGCAGGGACCUAGGCCCGGAGCUGGAGGGAAACAGGAUAGAACAGGAACCUGCCCCAGCUGUCUCUCUCUUCUUAGGUUUGACCCAGCGCUCACAGGUCUUUCCAAAGCUAAAAGUAGGCAGUUCCUUACAGGUUGGAAGCUGAUUUAAAAUAUCUCAGCAGGGUUGUUUGUUGGUUGUUUUUUUGACACAGGAUUUCUCUGUGUAGCCCUGGCUGUCCUGGAACUCGCUCCGUAGACCAGGCUGGCCUUGUGCUCAGAUCCUCCUGCCUCUGUUGGGAUUAAAAGUGUCCACCACCAUACCCUGCUAUGUCUCAACACUUUUGAAGCAGUUUUGACAUUUGAUCACCUUGGCUACUUGAAUGAGAGUUGAAAUAUUUUCUUCUUGAGGCUUGCAGGUCAGAUUUCAUUGUGGUUGCCCUCAUUGUUGCCUCAGACUUAACCCAUCAUAUAAGUUAGAUAUUAUAAGUAAAAUCAACUAGUAGGAUCUACUUAGUAAUAGCUAAUGGUUAUUGAACACGUGCACCAGUUCCAGAGCAAACUCAAAUCUUCAUGGUAAGCCAAACAUGUAAACAUUGUGAUCACUCCUAUUUGCUAGACCAGAAGACUGAGUCUGAGAGACUAACCCACCUAUGGGCCUGCACUCGGGCUUCUAUUCAGCGGGUUUAUUUUUUUAUUUUUUUAUUUCAUGUGCAGUGGUGUUAGGCCUGCAUGCAUGGCUGUGUGAGGGUGUCAGAUCUUAGAGCUACAGUGAGUUUAGCUACAAGAAUUUAUUGCUCUCGGGGACAGAAAGGGAAGCCAUUCUCCAGUGAUCCUAAAUCAUAGAUCCAUCACAGUGUCUUCCAAUUCCCUAGACUGUAGCUGAGUUGCACCGAGAAUGCCACUUGUGGUGGUGAAAGUCACAUGGGAUGCUGGGAUGAACCGGGAAGGUGACCUCGGGACAUACCCAUACCACAGAGGGAGCAGGUGUUUACUGAAAAUGGAGGAGACCUGGGACUUGGUAGCCGUGUGCCGCCCUAAACAGCAUCACAGUCAGGAGGGAGCCAAGAGCUUGGCUCAGUAGCCUCCCAGGAGUGGGUUGGGCUCAUGUCUUCACAAGUAUUUUUUCUUUUAAUAUUACAGUGUUUAAGUAGGCAUCAUGGUGCAUACCUUUAAUCCCAGCACUUGAGAGGCAGAGGCAGGCAGAUCUCUGUGAGUUGAAAGGCAGUCUGUUCUUUAUAAUGUAUUCUAGGACAGCCAAGGCUAUUACAUAGAGAAACCCUGUCUUGAAAAAACAAACAACAGCAAAAAAUAAACAAGACAAAAUUGCAAUGUUAAUUGUGACAUAUUUCCAAACAUACAGAAACUAACAAAGGGGGCCACCUAUAUACCAUGAAAGUGAAUCAGAUGUUGACACCCCCCAUGUGCUCCAGCUUACACUUUUGUUUCAUUUGUUUUUAUUUACUUAUUUUAAUUAUAUAUAUAUUUGGGGACACACACAUGUGUAAGGGGAUCAGAGCACAACUUGCAGGAGUCAGUUCUCCCCUUCAGCUUGUUUUCGGCAGGGUCUCUCUUGUGUGUGAUGCUGUGUGUACUCCAGGUUAGCUAGCCUACAAGCUUCUAGACAAUUCUGUCUCUGUCUCCUUUCUUGCUGUAGGAGUGAUGAAAUUACAGACAUGGGCCACUACAGCCAGUGGUUUUAUGUGGUCUCCAGGCUUAGAUCAAACUGGGGCCAUAAGCUUGAGUGGCUGGCACCUUCACCCACUGAGCCAUCUACCCAGCCCAUUCUGGUCAUUAUGUAGCCAUCUGGCCUCAGAUUCGCAAUUCUCCUGCCUCAGCUUGCUGGAUGCUGGAAGUCUGUGGGCCACUAUGCCUCAUUCACUCUCUACCUUUCUAAGAAGGCAAAGUACUAGAAACAAAGAAAAGGCCCACCUAUCCCUUCCCUGCCUUGUCCCCAAAGACAAGAGUGACCAUGUUUUCAUGCCUAUGCAGAUGUUUGGGUUUUGAUUUUGUUUUUUAACUGUGCAUGACUUGAAAGAAGGUAAUUGUACAAAUUUCAAUCAUACAGACUGAUGGAUUUUUUACAUAUAAAUAUUCACGUAUAUAUCUCCAAAAUAAAAUGUAUAACAUGUCUA